rnacentral:misc_RNA from 1 species
UUUCCGUAGGUGAACCUGCGGAAGGAUCAUUAAAGGGAAUAUGCCCUUCGGGGUAGAUCUCCCACCCUUUGUUUAUAUUACCUUUGUUGCUUUGGCAGGCCCGUCUUCGGACCACCGGCUUCGGCUGGUCAGCGCUUGCCAGAGGACCCAAAACUCUUAUUAUUAAUGUCGUCUGAGUACUAUAUAAUAGUUAAAACUUUCAACAACGGAUCUCUUGGUUCUG